rnacentral:rRNA from 1 species
AUUGAACGCUGGCGGCAGGCCUAACACAUGCAAGUCGAACGGUAACAGAAAGCAGCUUGCUGCUUUGCUGACGAGUGGCGGACGGGUGAGUAAUGUCUGGGAAACUGCCUGAUGGAGGGGGAUAACUACUGGAAACGGUAGCUAAUACCGCAUAACGUCGCAAGCCCAAAGAGGGGGACCUUCGGGCCUCUUGCCAUCGGAUGUGCCCAGAUGGGAUUAGUUUGUUGGUGGGGUAACGGUUCACCAAGGUGAAGAUCUCUAGCUGGUCUGAGAGGAUGACCGGCCACACUGGAGCUGAGACACGGUCCAGACUCCUACGGGAGGCAGCAGUGGGGAAUAUUGCACAAUGGGCGGAAACCUGAUGCAGCCAUGCGGCGUGUAUGAAGAAGACGUUCGGGUUGUAAAGUACUUUCAGCGGGGAGGAAGGGAGUAAAGUUAAGACCUAUGCUCAUUGACGUUACCGGCAGAAGAAGCACCGGCUAACUACGUG